rnacentral:rRNA from 2 species
GACGCAAGUCUGAUGGAGCAACGCCGCGUGAGUGAAGAAGGCUUUCGGGUCGUAAAACUCUGUUGUCGGAGAAGAAUGGUCGGCAGAGUAACUGUUGUCGGCGUGACGGUAUCCAACCAGAAAGCCACGGCUAACUACGUGCCAGCAGCCGCGGUAAUACGUAGGUGGCAAGCGUUAUCCGGAUUUAUUGGGCGUAAAGCGAGCGCAGGCGGUUUUUUAAGUCUGAUGUGAAAGCCCUCGGCUUAACCGAGGAAGUGCAUCGGAAACUGGGAAACUUGAGUGCAGAAGAGGACAGUGGAACUCCAUGUGUAGCGGUGAAAUGCGUAGAUAUAUGGAAGAACACCAGUGGCGAAGGCGGCUGUCUGGUCUGUAACUGACGCUGAGGCUCGAAAGCAUGGGUAGCGAACAGGAUUAGAUACCCUGGUAGUCCAUGCCGUAAACGAUGAAUGCUAGGUGUUGGAGGGUUUCCGCCCUUCAGUGCCGCAGCUAACGCAUUAAGCAUUCCGCCUGGGGAGUACGACCGCAAGGUUGAAACUCAAAGGAAUUGACGGGGGCCCGCACAAGCGGUGGAGCAUGUGGUUUAAUUCGAAGCAACGCGAAGAACCUUACCAGGUCUUGACAUCUUUUGAUCACCUGAGAGAUCAGGUUUCCCCUUCGGGGGCAAAAUGACAGGUGGUGCAUGGUUGUCGUCAGCUCGUGUCGUGAGAUGU